UUAUAUUUCAGAACAGAGGGAGUAUUUCUCAUCUCAUAUACUGGGAGACGCCAUUCAUAUAUAGUUUUCCCCGCGGCGUAUUGUCGUGUUGGACGACAGCAGUGGGCGUAACCAAUCGACCGAUUUCCUGACAUGUGACAAUGUCUUGAUCUGCUCCACAGGAAGGAUCUCCAUGGACAGGGUCCAGCGUAUGGAAGAAGUGUCAGAACUGAGUGUUGCAGCGUGAUUUGGCAAACAGAAUGCUAAUUAGGCCAAGAGCUCGCUAGAGACGGCGGAAAACAGAUCGUCAAAAAUAGCAGUUCCGAGUGUUCAUGCAGCCUGCAAGGAAGAAAAAAUGAAUUUCAAUCACAAAAGGCCGAGCUGCAUGCGAUGCCAAACGAUGACACUAGAUCAGAUAGACGUACCCAUGCAUCUUCUAAUCCGGUGAUCAAAUAAUGUUCUUUAUAUACAAAUUAAAGCAUACCGAAAGGACGUUGGAUACUACUUAUUGACCGUGAACAACAUAAUCUUCAACCUUUUUUUGCCGGAGAGCGGUCGAUGGCCGACGGCGUUGGUUCGAUCGGUGGUGAAUAACUAAAAUUAUUUUGUCAGCACGUACGAGGGAGAGGAGAGGAGAGGAUGGUAAAAGUUAUCCUACAGCUGCGCGACCAGAAAAAUAGGACAUGCUGUUGACAUCCAAGAUUAGAUCGGGCGGAAAGUAAGCAAACCAGGUACAUAGCCCUCCUACAGACCCGUUAAGGAGGCACGGAUCUUGAUGGAUCUAACGCUAGCUAG
rnacentral:lncRNA from 1 species